rnacentral:rRNA from 1 species
GGCGAACGCUGGCGGCGUGCCUAAUACAUGCAAGUAGGACGCACAGUCUAUACCGUAGCUUGCUACACCAUAGGCUGUGAGUUGCGAACGGGUGAGUAACGCGUAGGUAACCUGCCUAUUAGAGGGGGAUAACUAUUGGAAACGAUAGCUAAUACCGCAUAACAGUAUGUAACACAUGUUAGAUGCUUGAAAGAUGCAAUUGCAUCGCUAGUAGAUGGACCUGCGUUGUAUUAGCUAGUAGGUAGGGUAAUGGCCUACCUAGGCGACGAUACAUAGCCGACCUGAGAGGGUGAUCGGCCACACUGGGACUGAGACACGGCCCAGACUCCUACGGGAGGCAGCAGUAGGGAAUCUUCGGCAAUGGGGGGAACCCUGACCGAGCAACGCCGCGUGAGUGAAGAAGGUUUUCGGAUCGUAAAGCUCUGUUGUUAAGGAAGAACGAGUGUGAGAAUGGAAAGUUCAUACUGUGACGGUACUUAACCAGAAAGGGACGGCUAACUACGU